rnacentral:rRNA from 1 species
GACGUAGGGCGCGAGCGUUGUCCGGAUUUAUUGGGCGUAAAGAGCUCGUAGGCGGCUUGUCGCGUCGACUGUGAAAACCCGCGGCUCAACUGCGGGCCUGCAGCCGAUACGGGCAGGCUAGAGUUCGGUAGGGGAGACUGGAAUUCCUGGUGUAGCGGUGAAAUGCGCAGAUAUCAGGAAGAACACCCGUGGCGAAGGCGGCUCUCUGGUACGUGACUGACGCUGAGACGCGAAAGCGUGGGGAGCAAACAGG